rnacentral:tRNA from 1 species
GGCCGCCUGGCGAAAUGGCAUCGCGUCUGACUACGAUAGUCGGGUACGUCGCGAAAUUAUCGAGAUCAGGAGAUUGCAGGUUCGACCCCUGCGGUGGUCA